rnacentral:lncRNA from 1 species
UUUUUUCAUUCAUUUUUUUUCUUUUCUACUUUAUUUUUCUAUUUUUCUUUUCUUUUUCUACCAACUUCUGAAAUAUUGUAAACAUAAUUAUUCAACCCCACACAACUCCAAACAAGACUCUUUCAACCCUUUGAAUAUGGUGAUAUAACAUUAUUUUUCACUUCUCGGUUUGUAAUGAGUUUUAAACAAAAAAAAGGAUAAUAGGCUCAAGGGGG